rnacentral:sRNA from 1 species
ACUCAACACUAUUAAAUUAAAAAGGAUAAGUCUUGAUUAGUAAAGCACGCCGACUUUGUUUCGGAUUCUUGAUCAAUCAGUUAGUCCUAAACCUGUUCACCCGGAGUUU